GGGGGGGGGGGAGAGAAUUUCGAUAGCCAUUACUGCUAUAUCAAGGAAAGAUUAAAGACCAUCUAAACUGAGUCAGACAAAAAGUGUGUAUGUGCCGCUAUGCGACAAGAUGAUUUUCGGAGAUAUCGAUAUCACCCCUAUGCAGACUAUGAAAGAAGCCACAAAGUCUACUGACGACUCCUUGGAUAGUCUGAGUGAUGAUGGCGUACAACAGUCUGAGACCUCAGAUGGGGAUGAGUUCAUAAAUACAACGAAUGAUAACAAAGUGUACAUCAGUUUCUGUUGACAGACUGAAGACAGUGAUAGUGAUGACAGGUUCACUAACAAGGAGCAGCAGCUAGACGGUGUUUUUAGCGGGAUGCAGGCCACACAGCUAGAUGAAAACAAUGAAACCAUCAUGAUGGUCUCUUGGUAUUAGUCCAUGGGCCAGGCAAAAUUUUAGUAUCAUUUCGGGGGACUAACAAUCACUAGUCCAGUUCGAAGAGGACACUGAGAGGGUUGAAAAAUGUAUGAUAGCCAUUUAAAAAUGUAGCUAAAUUAGUUAUUUUUAUUAUUGAAAUAUAAAAAAAUGCGAUUCUGCAUGAAAACGAGGUUCUAGAUAAAAAAGCGGCGAAAUGAUGAAUAAAAUGGUAUUUAUGAAAAAAAACGAAAUUCAGAAAGAACAAUCAGAACUGACUGAAAAUAUAGUCUUUCUCUGUGAAAAUUCGGCUUUUAGUAGGAUUUACUAGGUGCAAGAGACUUGCUGCUUUUGCAUUGCAUUCUGGGUAAUCAAGAUGGCGGCGGCCAUGCAAGGUAAUACAAUUCCCUUUGGCCCUGGCCAAAGAGCUUCAGAAGCAUAUAGAGCCGGUUGAAGAUCUUCCUUCAAGCUCGGUCAGCAUAGUCAAUGGGAUGGCGAUUAUCCAAAAGGUUGAACGGUGAACACAAAACGUUCAGAGAAGUAUCAGAUGCGUUGAUUUCCAUGGUCUUGCGCGAGGGUGCUAACAGCUUCAAGAUUGAUGUUGUUUUCGAUGACUAUCGACGAAUAUCUAUCAAGAAUGCAAAGAGAGAGAAGAGUGGAGAUGAGAUUGGCAAUGAAUACCGAAACAUCCAACCUGAGCACCGUGUGCCGCUCUCGAGAAGAUUUCUGAGAAGUUCUGGUAACAAAGAGCAACUCAUACUCUUUGUCGUUGAUGAGUGGAAGAAGGAACGCUGCAGAUCAAAGCUUAGAAGAAAGAAACUGUAUGCAACAAGUGGGCAGGAGUGUUAUGAAAUCCAAUCCAUGGCUGGGCGUUGUGCGAAGACCUGCGGUCAACACAAGAGGGCUGCUGCUGCACGCACACCACGCCGCUAGAAAUGGCGCCCCUGCUAUUGUCAUUUCCUCUGAUGAUACGGAUGUCUUUCUACUUUGCCUGGCGUUCAAGAGUUUUAUCCAACCUCCAAUCUACAUGAAGUGCGGAACACAGGCGCGAACCAAGUUUAUCAAUAUCACAAGUGUGGUGCAACUGCAUGGUCCUUCGCUGUGCGGCUGGGACUUCAUGCAUUCACUGGAUGUGAUAGUGUAAUUGCCCUAAAUAUAACAUCCCAAGUGAUUUAAAUGGACAGGAUGACAACACAAAUGACGUCACUUUAUCACGUGAUUUGCCCAUGACAGCUACGUUUUCGGCACGGCUAUGAUAAAUAAUAAUGCAGUAGAAUAAAUGAGGUUUACAAAAAUGUAUGAUAGCCUUUAGUCCCCCGAGAUGAGACUAAAUUCAAAAAUUUUGGCUAUUGCCCCAUGAACUAUAUAACCUGCCUAUUAGAUAAGCGGGGACGCCUUAAUGAAACCCCACGUCAAAUUGAAAAAAAAUAUAUUUUUAUUGUUGGUGUCCAAAAAAAAUAUUUUCUGCAUUUUCUAUUGUUUUUUUUUAAAGGUUUUGCCAAAAGUAUAUAUAUUCUUUGUCUUUUACCCACCAUCACUUUUCUAAUGGUCCGUUCUAAAUAUCUUAACACUUUUGACCAAUUCUAGAUCUGAGUUCUUAAUCGAGAACAAAAGACCAUUUGAUCUUCUUUUAGGUCAUUAUUAGUCUCCCUAGCCAUGUUAGACAGUUGUGAUUGAAGAGGACCUCUUCCCACAUUUGAUAGAGCUGUUGUAAAAUGGGACCCCUAUCCAUUGGAUAGCUGUCGUACAUGGCGACUCCCCUACCAUGU